AGUGAACGCUGGCGGCAGGCCUAACACAUGCAAGUCGAGCGGCAGCGGGUCCCCGCGAGGGGAUGCCGGCGAGCGGCGGACGGGUGAGGAACACAUCGGAAUCUGCCUGGUUGUGGGGGAUAACGUAGGGAAACUUACGCUAAUACCGCAUGAGACCCCGAGUCGACGGACUGGGGGUGAAAGUGAGGGACCUUCGGGCCUCACGCGACCAGAUGAGCCGAUGUCGGAUUAGCAGUUGGCGGGGUAACGGCCCGCCAAGGCGACGAUCCGUAGCUGGUCUGAGAGGAUGAUCAGCCACACUGGGACUGAGACACGGCCCAGACUCCUACGGGAGGCAGCAGUGGGGAAUCUUGGACAAUGGGCGCAAAGCCUGAUCCAGCCAUGCCGCGU
rnacentral:rRNA from 1 species